UUCCCUUCCCUUCCCUUCCCUUCCCUUCCCUUCCCUUCCCUUCCCUUCCCUUCCCUUCCCUUCCCUUCCCUUCUCUUCCCUUCUCUUCCCUUCUCUUCCCUUCUCUGUUCUGUUAUUUUAAGGGAAAUUAAAAUUCAAGGUAAACUAGAAUCCUACCAACAUCAGCCAUACAGGCUUUUGUGAUGAAGCCCACUCACAUACCAGUGGCACCAUUUAUUUCCCAAGAUGACAGGGUCUAGUUAGGAUUCAGGGUACAUAGGUAAUUUCCAGUAGGUGUUUCGAAUUAAACCAAAGUAUCUCUUCAUUAAAAUAAAUUCAAGGAAAACCAAGUAAAACAGAUAUUUCGCCCCAUUUUUCUAUGUUAAAGCCAGUUUAAGAAUGGCAAAGCAAAUGUCUAUUUAAACAUAAUCUCUGAGGCUUUAGAACUUCUAGCUUACCUUAAAUUUUAGAGAGCGCUCUUUUAAAGUGUUCCAUUCCCACCAAAGUAUAGCUGACAAAUACUAGUAAGUUCAUCUAUAAAGCGUCUUAUGAAUACAGUUUCAGUAGUGUAAGAUUAAAACAGGACAGUAAUAACUAAUGUUUUAGGUUUUUGUUUUUGCUUUUGUUUUUUUUUUUUCCCAGCAAAACACUGCUUUGUAACGUACCUAUAGUUUAGAAAAGAAAGCCUUAUUUAUUUAAAACUUGAGAAUUUAAAAAUGCAGGGAAAUUCAAAGUCCAUCACCGCAUUUUUUAGUAUUUCCAUUGUAUUGUCUCUAGAGACUACUUGCUGAAACCAAAGAGAACUUUCAUACCAGCAUUAAAUUUGCACCCAAUAUGCAAUUUCAGGAUCUCUGGUACACACCCACCCCUAUGAGCCCCCGAGUAGAUCUAUGUAUACAUACAUGCACACACAUUUCCCCGUGGUGUAUGUGCGUAUACAUGCACACAUAUACACACACACCAAAACUGAUGCACAAGUUAUAGAUUUUAAGUGUUGGCGUUUUUUUUUACAUGCCUGUUGAGGUAUCUGUAAACCUUUUGUUUUUUUAUAAGCCAUGGAGAACAAAACCACCCUUGCCAUAAGCAGUAUGCGCCUAGUACUCAGAAUAGACCAAGAACCCACUUUUCUUUAAUUGUGUUCAGACCGUGCAGCAGAUCCCUGUGGCACUGCUCCCCUGUGCCCCGGGCACACAGCACAGCCCCAUCCCAUCGCUGCUGCUCGUCGGCUGCCAUCCCUUCCCAGCACUAUGCCGAGCGUCACACCCAUCCUGUCCCAUUGCGUCAGUGUCCGUCUGUCCACCUGGAUGAGGUCGGGGCUUCACACCCGACAAACUGGAAAUUAGUUUCAGAUUCCAAACCCAAAGGACCUGAAAGUCUGUCAGGAACAUUUAGGAGAGGAGCAGAACCCAGUCUACCAUGGUACCAUGGGGCUUCAUGGCAUGAGGGUGUCAGGGGUGUGCGUUCGGCCCAUGGGGGCUGCCAAAAGCAUGCCGACCCCAGGGAGGCUGGUUCAGGGGCGAAGCGUCCGCACCCAUCCCAUCCUAAGGGCGCUGUUGGCUCUCUGGGGAGCAGGCACAGCCCCAGGUGGCAGCGCUGCUCGGCUCGGCCCCAGGAGGCUUCCCAGGGCCUUGUCCUCCUCUCCUCACUCAGGUAAAGCCAAGCGAGCCGGUGGGGCCGUGCUGCUGCUCCCACAGGUGGUGCCAACAGCUGCCUUGGGUGCGGGGCCGGCAAUGGGCACAGCCCUGGGUGCUGCUGGAGGGCAAGCCCAGGGGACUGCCGCUGGGCACUGCCCAAAGGAGCCCCAGGGCCUUCCUCCCAAGCCGUGAGCCGCCUUCUCGCCCCUUCCUUCCACCACUCUUCCUCCUCUCCUCCUUUGUACAUAAGAAUGAAAACUAUGCAUUUAGCAAACAAAGAGAAAGCACUUACCCUUUUCUAUCCAGCUGCGUUUGGGUGCAUUCAAAGGUCCAGAGGCUAAUUUUGAGACUUUGCUUAGCCUUCUGGUUUAUUAUUGUGGUGUGGUUAGCUUUACAAUACAUUUGGUAACUAUUUGCUAAAGACAAAGAAGCAAAAGGUAAGGAAUAGCUACUUCCACGUGUUAAAAAAAAAAAAAAAAAAAAAGGAAAAAAAAGGAAAAAAAAAGAAAAAAAAAAGUGUGUAAAGAUCUACUAUUUAUAGUGUGAACCAAAGACGCUACCUCACUCGAUUUCCAUUGGUGAUUUUAAUCACAUUGAUGAUACCAAAGAAUACCAAAGAUUUUUCAUGCACGGCCUCGGUCUGUGAAGGGAACUCCUCCCCCCCUCCUCGCCUCUCCCAGUGCGUAGACGCGUCUGCUCCUUGUAGCGAUGACGGUAACCUGAUGAAUGCUUCUCUUACUACAACUCUACUGCUGACGAUGAUAAGGAUAAUAAUAAUAAAGCUCUAGGCAAACAUGUUGCAAACUUUGUAAACUCCUAGGACGAGUGCCUUGCUUGAACCAAAGUGUUAAACCGCUGUUGACCUCUUUAUCUCUCACCUUAUACUCUUUGAAUACCUCAGCCUGUUAGAAAGGCCACUAAUGAAAAAAGGAAUAAUUCUUCACCGUGGUGCUUUUUGCCGUGCAACCAUGCAAUGAAACUUUCUUUGAUACCAAAGGAAAAUGUUUUUUUCCACUUUCUUGCUGACAAACCAAAGGUUCCUUCCUCCUUCCCCCGCAAGCAGCGUGAGUCCCUCAGCCCAGACAGGCCGUGCAUUGCUUUUACCAAUUCCUCCAAAUACCUCAUAGUAAUAAAUCGUUAGGGUUACGUUGUAUAGAGAGUCUAUGUGAUAAGGCAGAACUUACUAGUUUGAUAAUUGUUAAGGUUACUUAAAAGAAGCUUUAUAAUUCUUAUUUAUUUUGUAGGGGUUGUUUUUUGUUUGUACAUUCCUUUUUUAUUGCUGUGGUCGGGUUUGGGUUUCUUCUUCUUCUCUUUUGGCAGAACUUCUCUGUUAUACUCAAGGAAGAUCCUAUCCCUGGAAAUGGUUCAAAGUGGGUAAAGAUCGCAGGUUGCAAUGAACGCGAGAAAGGGAAAAGCGGCUCUGAUUUCUUUUCUUUCGGUUGGGAUGCUUUGUGUUUGCUGGUCGACGUUCUUUUCACAGGUUUCGCAGUACGAACCGAACGACAGUAUUAAACGACAAUAAACUGACGGCGUUGUGUCUCACUCGCUCUGCCAGUCGUCUUCAUCCCGUGCCGCUGCCCAGCCCGGCCCUGGGUCAGCCCGGCCCCGCCCCGCCCCGCGGCCCCGCCCCGCGUAGCCCCGCCCCCAAACGGAC
ensembl:lncRNA